GCCAAAGUCCAAAGCUGCUCGGGCUGCGACCUCCCUGGGGCCCUCCUGGGAGUCGCCUCUCCGGACCCGCGCUGUUCCCUGGGGAUGGAGGGCCACCAAGGCGAGAGCCGCCGCCACCGCCACCGCUGAGCGGAUUUGAGCAGAAGCUCCGUUUUCCUUCUGUUCUUGUCUCUCUCUCAAGAAUAAAUUGGACCCAAUCCGCUGCCUGCCCUGCUGCCAGCAGCCUUCAGAAGCCCCAUCUCAGCCAG